rnacentral:tRNA from 1 species
AUUUAAAUAGCUUAAUUAGAGUAUAAUAUUGAAGAUAUUAAGGUGAUUGUAAAUCUUUAAAUA